AACGUAGGUGGCGAGCGUUAUUCGGAUUUACUGGGCGUAAAGCGCGUGCAGGCGGUUUCGCAAGUCGGACGUUAAAUCUCCCGGCUCAACUGGGAGGCGUCGUUCGAAACUGCGAGACUCGAGGUCGGGAGAGGAGAGCGGAAUUCCCGGUGUAGUGGUGGAAUGCGUAGAUAUCGGGAGGAACACCUGUGGCGAAAGCGGCUCUCUGGCCCGCACCUGACGCUAAGACGCGAAAGCGUGGGGAGCGAACAGG
rnacentral:rRNA from 1 species